rnacentral:rRNA from 1 species
GACGAACGCUGGCGGCGUGCUUAACACAUGCAAGUCGAACGGAAAGGCCUAGCUUGCUGGGUACUCGAGUGGCGAACGGGUGAGUAACACGUGGGUGAUCUGCCCCUGACUUUGGGAUAAGCCUGGGAAACUGGGUCUAAUACAGGAUAUUCAUUUUUCCUCGCAUGGGGAUUUGUGGAAAGCUUUUGCGGUUGGGGAUGGGCCCGCGGCCUAUCAGCUUGUUGGUGGGGUAAUGGCCUACCAAGGCGACGACGGGUAGCCGACCUGAGAGGGUGAUCGGCCACACUGGGACUGAGACACGGCCCAGACUCCUACGGGAGGCAGCAGUGGGGAAUAUUGCACAAUGGGCGCAAGCCUGAUGCAGCGACGCCGCGUGCGGGAUGACGGCCUUCGGGUUGUAAACCUCUUUCAGCUCCGACGAAGCGCAAGUGACGGUAGGGGCAGAAGAAGCACCGGCCAACUACGUG